AGCAACAACCACCACUGCCUCAGAUCCCCUUUCUGUGCUCUUCAAUCGCCAUGAUUACCUAACUUCGUUGUUGAAGAAUGAAUUCAGAUAAGUACCAAGCUUUCUUCAAUUGAUUGCAAGACAAAUCAAUCAACCCCAUAACAAACUCAAAUGUCUGCAUCUUAGAUUCUAUUUUCAGAUCACAUUUGAAAACCCAUGAAUCCAUCGUUGGAGUUGCUGCUGUUAGAAGAGGUCCUGAACUCCACGGGCAAUAAUUGUACCAGUGAGAAACUUUUCCUUUUUCUUUCGACAAAAAAUUGAAGUUUCGCUAAAUCGAAAACCUAAGUUCACUGAAUCUAAAUCCCAAUUAUUGUUUUGUUCAAAGCGGUGUUGGUGAUUUCGGUAGAGUGGUGCUGCACCAGUUGAACUGGUGCGAAAAAAAAAGAUACAGAAAAAGUAAUGGUGUUGUCUUUGUCGUGCUGUGAAGAAGGAUGGGAAGAAGACAAUAUUAAGUAAAAUCUUAGAUAGAAGGCUAUAAUAGUAAAUUAGGCUUUUAAUUUAUUUUUAAAUUGGUUAUGUUUUUAUAAAUCAACUUUUAACCUGGUCAAUGGUAAUCAACGUCCAGUUCAGGUACCAAGCCCUAACGUUGGAUAAAUAUUAGACCAAGCCCUAACUUUGGUUUAAUAAUAGUGUUGGAUAAAUGUUAGACCAGUCCAGGGACUUUGGGUUGGAAUACAAAUUGGGACGGGUCUCCAGACAAUCGUUCUUUUAAUUAUGUUUUGGCGUGCAGACUGUGACAAAGAGGUACAAUUAACCAAAGAUAGUCUCACAGGAUGUAGAUAUAGGCGAGGAACAAAAGUUGAUUAGCUGAAUCAACUUUGAGAUCCUUUUAAUGCGUCCCUUUUAACUUCUCAUUCUUUGGUUUUGCUAUUUUUAGGGUAGUAAAUAAUGAUUUCUUGCAACACUUAUAACUUGUAAGUCAAAUUAUGAUUUAAGCAUAAUUUCCCAAGUGGGGGGAGAGAGUGCAAAAGAUAUGUCCUACCAUUAAUUUAUGCCAAGUGAUUUUUUUAUU